rnacentral:rRNA from 1 species
CCCCAGACUCCUACGGGAGGCAGCAGUCGGGAAUAUUGCACAAUGGAGGAAACUCUGAUGCAGUGACGCCGCGUGCAGGAAGAAGGUUUUAGGAUUGUAAACUGCUUUAGACAGGGAAGAAAAAAGACAGUACCUGUAGAAUAAGCUCCGGCUAACUACGUGCCAGCAGCCGCGGUAAUACGUAGGGAGCGAGCGUUAUCCGGAAUUAUUGGGUGUAAAGGGUGCGUAGACGGGUAAAUAAGUUAGUUGUGAAAUCCCUCGGCUCAACUGAGGAACUGCAACUAAAACUGUAUAUCUUGAGUGCGGGAGAGGAAAGUGGAAUUCCUAGUGUAGCGGUGAAAUGCGUAGAUAUUAGGAGGAACACCAGUGGCGAAGGCGGCCUGCUGGACGAUGACUGACGUUGAGGCUCGAAAGCGUGGGGAGCAAACAGGAUUAGAUACCCUUGUA